CUUUCUGUCCCACUUAAGCUCCCUCAAUCUCCUUCAAAUCCUCCCUCUCCCAUCAGCUAGUUCCGAGCGGACGGCCCAAAGAGGAUGGAGUGGGAUUAAAGGGUUUUUAAAACAUAAAAUAAGGAGUUUUGGGUAAUUUGGCAGCCUGAAUCCCAGUUUUCAGGCCUGUACUGCUACAUGGCCGCAUACAAGACAUCAGAGGGUGAUGCUUCCACCCAGAUAAAUAGCAGUCGAGAGCGAGAGCGGAAAUCCUCUUCUCAUUUUUCACUUUUUGUGUUUGUUUUUUGUUUUUUUAUUCUAUUUAACCAGACUAAUCUGGUCUCCGAUGAAUUUUUAUUGUUUCUUAUGCCGAGCCAAUAAGGCUUAGAGACACCGAUUCGAGCUUCAUGCCUGCGUUGUGCUGGCAAAGAAAAAAAAGAUCGGGCGAGUGAGCGAGAGGAGUACAAUGACUUGGUGGCAUCAUUGUCGGUUGUACUAAAUCCAGCACUGCGCAGGGAGAGAGGCAAAGAUGCGGAUAUCUGGAAAACAUCCCGACACACAUCUGUUGACGUAUCCUUUCAUUCUCGCAUACACACACACACACACACACACACAGCGCACUCAGAGAGACGCGUUCCAGCUCUUGGACUCGUGACACUUUUUGCAUCUGUGCAUGCAUAGCGAUGUGUAUGUGUUUGUUCGCUUGUUUGUAUGGUGUGGGCUGCGCCCCGUAGGCCUCAUUUACUCCUCCUCCCUCGAUUCCUUGUAAGCACCAUGCAUCACUAAAGGAAAUGGGGAAAAAAGCACAGAAAUUGGCCAUCGCCAGUCGCCGCAGAAAACCUAAAUCGCACAGCCCACAAUACGACUGAUAACAUUCACGCUAUCUUACAUGCUUUCUGGAUUUGACGGCAUGCUGCACAGUGGCAGCGUGUUUUUUGGAAUACCCAUGAAUCCCCAGGAAAGGCCUGACUUCCACACGUAGCUUCACCCUGUUGAGGGUCGGACCUGAUGUGUGAAAGAGAUCCAGGUCCGUCUGCUGUGAAUGCUAAUACACAUUGCUAUUAGUGUGAACAGGAUAGUAAUGCUGGAUCCUGUGAAGCAUUCAUACCUCCAUCUUUCUGAAUGCAGACGACCAGAAUAUUUCCAUAUAGCAUUCAGGGUUAGCAGUGCACAUGUAAACCUGCUCUUGAGUCUGACUGUAUAGGGUAAGAGAGAUUUCUUUAGUCAGUCAUGUAUGAAAAACAUGAUUCUCGUCUCUUUUUGUCUGCAAUAGGGCUGGAGAAACGUCAACCUCUGAGGCUACAGAUGACUUCUCGAACACCCUCACAAGUCAUCGCACCUGGCCUUGGAAACACACAGAAAUCAACCUUGUUGACCGGAACACCCAGGUGUCUGAGGAGGGGAAACUGAAAGUUAUUCAUUUUGGUUUAGUGUAAAUAGACAUAUUUUGUACAAU